UCAAGACUCCUGAUCAUCGAAGUGGUGAAACUCAAUCACCCUAAACCCUUCACAAGGCAACGCUUCCCUUGUCACUGAAAGAGUGCGACAUCGAGUUUGAGAAUGGGCGGUUGAAUUACUGGGUUCUUGUUUUUCAUUGUGAGAAUGGGCGGUUGAAUUACUUAGAAUCAAUCUUCAUUGUAGCGCACAAGAAGGCUAAGCUCGAAAAUGGCGUCAAAGGAAUAUCCAUUUCUGUCGAUAUAUACAACUGUGGAUUUUUAAUGUCCCUCGGUCUUACUGUAUAUGAGAUUUGGAAGGAAAGAAACCAAUGGAGAUUCCAUAAAUGUUUUCAGACUUGACAUCAGAUUCUGCAGAUGAUUCAGAUCAGCGCUCAUAUCAGAAUUUUACAGAAGGAAAAACUGCAGACUUUCUGUACUCGUUAAUCUUUUAUGUAGUAUUAGUGCUCCUCUAUGCAUUUUGGUUGCUCUUCUAGUGUGUGCCUCUAUUCUGCUAGCUACUGCUAACUGCAGGGUACUGCUUUGAGGGGAGGCCUGUUGGCUUGCUGCUGUUAUCUGUGCAGGCUGAUCUAUUGUACAGAUGCUUGUUUUUGCUAUGUUCAGGCUAGGUGCAGCUUCUCUGCACAGGAUGGGUGCUGCUGCUUAUGUUGUUACGCUUCUUUGCACAGAACUGUGUAUAAUGUAAGCCUGCCGACAAGCUGGCCAGCGGAUUCAUUGGAUGUUGUAUGAGGCAACUUUUCAAGAUCGUGGGACAACCUUGAUGUAUUUUCCAAGUUAUAACAAAGAGCAGAUUGACGAAGUAAGAACUCAAUGGGUGCACCAUGUUGUCUAACAACUGUAUAUUAGCUCGGUUACGUUGAAUGAACCAAUAAUUGUACAGUUGUAUUAAUUAAUGUAUGUUGCGUAGUUUAAUGUUUGUGUUCUUAUUUUAGAACAUCUCUAUGUAAUCGGUUUUAUUAGGUUGACGUACAAUUGAAAAUUCUUUAUAAUGAGGUGUGGAAAUUAAUAUACGAUUAUUUUUACUCUUCAA